rnacentral:rRNA from 1 species
GAUCAUGGCUCAGAUUGAACGCUGGCGGCAGGCCUAACACAUGCAAGUCGAACGGUAACAGGAAGAAGCUUGCUUCUUUGCUGACGAGUGGCGGACGGGUGAGUAAUGUCUGGGGAAACUGCCUGAUGGAGGGGGAUAACUACUGGAAACGGUAGCUAAUACCGCAUAACGUCGCAAGACCAAAGAGGGGGGACCUUCGGGCCUCUUGCCAUCGGAUGUGGCCCAGAUGGGAUUAGCUAGUAGGUGGGGG